rnacentral:lncRNA from 1 species
CUCCUCUCCCUCUCCACUCUAUUCCACACCCAAGAGUUAAGCGUCCCUAUCUCCAAACACCUAAGGUUGUUAGGAAAACCUUGUCUUAUGCCAAGGAAAGGAAGAAGUGAGUUCUCAAAUGUUGAGAUCGUAAGGAAAAUCAAAAGUCGAUCUAUGAUCUAGAAAGGCUUACAAGAAGGACAAUCCAAGGUUGAUCUCGAUAGAUACCUAUAGA